rnacentral:rRNA from 1 species
UACGGAAGGCAGCAGUGGGGAAUAUUGCACAGUGGGCGCAAGCCUGAUGCAGCCAUGCCGCGUGUAUGAAGAAGGCCUUCGGGUUGUAAAGUACUUUCAGCGGGGAGGAAGGCGAUGCGGUUAAUAACCGCGUCGAUUGACGUUACCCGCAGAAGAAGCACCGGCUAACUCCGUGCCAGCAGCCGCGGUAAUACGGAGGGUGCAAGCGUUAAUCGGAAUUACUGGGCGUAAAGCGCACGCAGGCGGUCUGUUAAGUCAGAUGUGAAAUCCCCGGGCUUAACCUGGGAACUGCAUUUUGAACUGGCAGGCUUGAGUCUUGUAGAGGGGGUAGAAUUCCAGGUGUAGCGGUGAAAUGCGUAGAGAUCUGGAGGAAUACCGGUGGCGAAGGCGGCCCCUGGGACAAGACUGACGCUCAGGU